GAAGAAAAAAAUGAAGGUUAAACAGUAAAAAAAAUUUUGUGAUUAAGUGAAUAGAUGAAACAGCAGCCUUAUUGGAUAUCUUGGGAGAUGGUGGAUGGACCGGGUACAUCGGGAACCCUAUCGUGAACGUUGUCUCAUAUCGAAUAGGGUAUGGAGACUUGAUAAUUUGACGCUCAUAGCAGACGGGGUAUGGGGACGACCCGCUUCACCCUCAUACCGGAUGUGGUAUUGAGAUUUGGUAAUUUGCGCUCAUACUGAACGGGGUAUGGGGACGAUCCGCAAUUGAGAAUGUUAAAAGAAAUGGUUCACAUGUAGCGGGAACAUUCCCAUGAACCCCCAUAGAUACCAGCAGGCUGGUAAAAAAAAAGAGUGACAGUUAUUGUUUGAUUUAUUGAUGAUGGAUAUAGAUUUGUAAUAUGUGUUAUGUUGUUGAUUAUACAUGUAAUCAUGAUCUGCAUAAUAUUAUUGUCUGUAUAGGUUGUUUUUAUAAAUUUCAAUACGGUAAGUGGACGAUAAACAGUUUUAUGAUCGGUAAAUGAAUUUG
rnacentral:lncRNA from 1 species